rnacentral:siRNA from 1 species
CACCUUGAUAUACGGUGGU